UACGGGGGGGGCAAGCGUUGUUCGGAAUUACUGGGCGUAAAGGGCGCGUAGGCGGUUCGCUAAGUCGGAUGUGAAAACUCUGGGCUCAACCCAGAGCCUGCAUCCGAAACUGGCGGGCUAGAGUUCUGGAGGGGGUAGCGGAAUUCCUGGUGUAGCGGUGAAAUGCGUAGAUAUCGGGAGGAACACCUGUGGCGAAGGCGGCUUUCUGGGCCUUACCUGACGCUGAGACGCGAAAGCGUGGGGAGCGAACCGG
rnacentral:rRNA from 1 species